rnacentral:rRNA from 1 species
AGUGAACGCUGGCGGUAAGCCUAACACAUGCCAGUCGAACGGCAGCACAGUAAGAGCUUGCUCUUACGGGUGGCGAGUGGCGGACGGGUGAGGAAUACAUCGGAAUCUACUUUUUCGUGGGGGAUAACGUAGGGAAACUUACGCUAAUACCGCAUACGACCUACGGGUGAAAGCAGGGGAUCUUCGGACCUUGCGCGAUUGAAUGAGCCGAUGUCGGAUUAGCUAGUUGGCGGGGUAAAGGCCCACCAAGGCGACGAUCCGUAGCUGGUCUGAGAGGAUGAUCAGCCACACUGGAACUGAGACACGGUCCAGACUCCUACGGGAGGCAGCAGUGGGGAAUAUUGGACAAUGGGCGCAAGCCUGAUCCAGCCAUACCGCGUGGGUGAAGAAGGCCUUCGGGUUGUAAAGCCCUUUUGUUGGGAAAGAAAAGCAGCAGGUUAAUACCCCGCUGUUCUGACGGUACCCAAAGAAUAAGCACCGGCUAACUUCGUG